rnacentral:rRNA from 1 species
UACGAAGGGGGCUAGCGUUGCUCGGAAUGACUGGGCGUAAAGGGCGCGUAGGCGGCCUUCUAAGUCGAGACGUGAAAUCCCCCGGCUUAACCUGGGAACUGCGUCUGAUACUGGAGGGCUUGAGUAUGGGAGAGGGAUGUAGAAUUCCAGGUGUAGCGGUGAAAUGCGUAGAUAUCUGGAGGAAUACCGGUGGCGAAGGCGGCAUCCUGGACCAUUACUGACGCUGAGGCGCGAAAGCUAGGGGAGCAAACGGG